GACGAGGGGUCCUAGCGUUGUUCGGAAUCACUGGGCGUAAAGCGUAUGUAGGCGGCUCUUUAAGUCGGGUGUGAAAUCCCAUGGCUCAACCAUGGAAUUGCAUUCGAAACUGCUGAGCUUGAGUGUGGGAGAGAUUGGUAGAAUACCUGGUGUAGUGGUGAAAUACGUAGAUAUCAGGUGGAAUACCGGUGGCGAAGGCGGCCAAUUGGCCCAACACUGACGCUGAGAUACGAAAGCGUGGGGAUCAAACAGG
rnacentral:rRNA from 1 species